UACAGAGGGUGCGAGCGUUGUCCGGAAUCACUGGGCGUAAAGGGCGCGUAGGCGGUGACUUAAGCGUGUGGUGAAAGCUCGGGGCUCAACCCCCGAGUCGGCCGUGCGAACUGGGUCACUGGAGCAGAUCAGAGGCAGGCGGAAUUCCGGGUGUAGCGGUGGAAUGCGUAGAGAUCCGGAAGAACACCGGUGGCGAAGGCGGCCUGCUGGGAUCUUGCUGACGCUGAGGCGCGACAGCGUGGGGGAGCAAACAGGAUUA
rnacentral:rRNA from 1 species